rnacentral:rRNA from 1 species
GCAUGUUCACAUGAUUAGAGGUAUUCCGGUAGACGAUGGGGAUGCGUUCCAUUAGAUAGUAGGCGGGGUAACGGCCCACCUAGUCUUCGAUGGAUAGGGGUUCUGAGAGGAAGGUCCCCCACAUUGGAACUGAGACACGGUCCAAACUCCUACGGGAGGCAGCAGUGAGGAAUAUUGGUCAAUGGGCGAGAGCCUGAACCAGCCAAGUAGCGUGAAGGAUGACUGCCCUAUGGGUUGUAAACUUCUUUUAUAAAGGAAUAAAGUCGGGUAUGCAUACCUGUUUGCAUGUACUUUAUGAAUAAAGAUCGGCUAACUCCGUGCCAGCAGCCGCGGUAAUACGGAGGAUCCGAGCGUUAUCCGGAUUUAUUGGGUUUAAAGGGAGCGUAGAUGGAUGUUUAAGUCAGUUGUGAAAGUUUGCGGCUCAACCGUAAAAUUGCAGUUGAUACUGGAUAUCUUGAGUGCAGUUGAGGCAGGCGGAAUUCGUGGUGUAGCGGUGAAAUGCUUAGAUAUCACGAAGAACUCCGAUUGCGAAGGCAGCCUGCUAAGCUGCAACUGACAUUGAGGCUCGAAAGUGUGGGUAUCAAACAGGGUUAGAUACCCUGGUAGUCCACACGGUAAACGAUGAAUACUCGCUGUUUGCGAUAUACAGCAAGCGGCC